rnacentral:rRNA from 1 species
CAAUAGCGUAUAUUAAAGUUGUUGCGGUUAAAAAGCUCGUAGUUGGAUUUCUGCCGAGGACGACCGGUCCGCCCUCUGGGUGAGUAUCUGGCUCGGCCUGGGCAUCUUCUUGGAGAACGUAGCUGCACUUGACUGUGUGGUGCGGUAUCCAGGACCUUUACUUUGAGGAAAUUAGAGUGUUUCAAGCAGGCUUACGCCUUGAAUACAUUAGCAUGGAAUAAUAAGAUAGGACCUCGGUUCUAUUUUGUUGGUUUCUAGAGCUGAGGUAAUGAUUAAUAGGGAUAGUUGGGGGCAUUCGUAUUUAACUGUCAGAGGUGAAAUUCUUGGAUUUGUUAAAGACGAACUACUGCGAAAGCAUUUGCCAAGGAUGUUUUCAUUGA